rfam:Triticum aestivum genome assembly, contig: Triticum_aestivum_CS42_TGACv1_scaffold_327960_4BS
AAUGUACUCCCUCCGUCCGGAAAUACUUGUCAUCAAAAUGGAUAAAAAGAGAUGUAUCUAGAAUUAAAAUACAUCAAAUACAUCCCCUUUUAUCCAUUUUGAUGACGAGUAUUUCCGGACGGAGGGAGUAUUUU